UUUAUAUGCAAAAUCAAACAGGCAGAACAAAAUUUCAUGGGUAUAUGAAUUCUUUUAUUCAUACAUGGCUGCCAAAAGAACCCAGCUUUAUUGAUUAUUUCAAGACACACUACAGUUACAGACCAGAGGUCUGGGCAAUGGCAUAUAGAGAUUGCGAUCAUGGCGACACAGAGUCUGAGACAUAAACAUGGUUGUGGAAAAGUAAGUACUAUUUGACAUCACAGUAAAGCAAAACCAGAACUCUUUAUUUCAGAACCACUGUAUGUAUGUACUUGUAACAAUAGAAAUGAGGGU